CCUACGGGAGGCAGCAGUGGGGAAUAUUGCACAAUGGGCGAAAGCCUGAUGCAGCGACGCCGCGUGAGGGAUGACGGCCUUCGGGUUGUAAACCUCUUUCAGCAGGGAAGAAGCGAGAGUGACGGCACCUGCAGAAGAAGCGCCGGCUAACUACGUGCCAGCAGCCGCGGUAAUACGUAGGGCGCAAGCGUUGUCCGGAAUUAUUGGGCGUAAAGAGCUCGUAGGCGGCUUGUUGCGUCGGUUGUGAAAGCCCGGGGCUUAACCCCGGGUCUGCAGUCGAUACGGGCAGGCUAGAGUGUGGUAGGGGAGAUCGGAAUUCCUGGUGUAGCGGUGAAAUGCGCAGAUAUCAGGAGGAACACCGGUGGCGAAGGCGGAUCUCUGGGCCAUUACUGACGCUGAGGAGCGAAAGCGUGGGGAGCGAACAGGAUUAGAUACCCUGGUAGUCCACGCCGUAAACGUUGGGAACUAGGUGUUGGCGACAUUCCACGUCGUCGGUGCCGCAGCUAACGCAUUAAGUUCCCCGCCUGGGGAGUACGGCCGCAAGGCUAAACUCAAGGAUUGACG
rnacentral:rRNA from 1 species